rnacentral:rRNA from 1 species
AUGACGGAGGAGCUUGCUCCUCCUGAUUAGUGGCGAACGGGUGAGUAAUACGUGAGCAAUGUGCCCUUGACUCUGGGAUAAGCGCUGGAAACGGCGUCUAAUACCGGAUACGACGAUCGGAGGCAUCUCCUGGUCGUGGAAAGAACUUCGGUCAAGGAUCAGCUCACGGCCUAUCAGUUAGUUGGUGAGGUAAUGGCUCACCAAGACGACGACGGGUAGCCGGCCUGAGGGGGUGACCGGCCACACUGGGACUGAGACACGGCCCAGACUCCUACGGGAGGCAGCAGUGGGGAAUAUUGCACAAUGGGCGCAAGCCUGAUGCAGCAACGCCGCGUGAGGGACGAAGGCCUUCGGGUUGUAAACCUCUUUUAGCAGGGAAGAAGCGAAAGUGACGGUACCUGCAGAAAAAGCACCGGCUAACUACGUGCCAGCAGCCGCGGUAAUACGUAGGGUGCAAGCGUUGUCCGGAAUUAUUGGGCGUAAAGAGCUCGUAGGCGGUUUGUCACGUCUGCUGUGAAAACCCGAGGCUCAACCUCGGGCUUGCAGUGGGUACGGGCAGACUAGAGUGCGGUAGGGGAGAUUGGA